UACGUAGGUGACAAGCGUUGUCCGGAUUUACUGGGCGUAAAGAGCGCGCAGGCGGUCGAUCAAGUCGAGUGUGAAAGCCCCCGGCUCAACUGGGGAGGGUCAUUCGAUACUGAUCGACUCGAAGGCAGGAGAGGGUAGUGGAAUUCCCGGUGUAGUGGUGAAAUGCGUAGAUAUCGGGAGGAACACCGGUGGCGAAGGCGGCAUCCUGGACCAUUACUGACACUGAAUAGCGAAAGCCAGGGGAGCAAACGGG
rnacentral:rRNA from 1 species